rnacentral:rRNA from 1 species
UACGAAGGGGGCUAGCGUUGCUCGGAAUGACUGGGCGUAAAGGGCGCGUAGGCGGACUGCACAGUCAGGCGUGAAAUUCCUGGGCUUAACCUGGGGACUGCGUCUGAGACGUGUGAUCUAGAGUGAGGAAGAGGGUCGUGGAAUUUCCAGUGUAGAGGUGAAAUUCGUAGAUAUUGGAAAGAACACCGGUGGCGAAGGCGGCGACCUGGUCCUUGACUGACGCUGAGGCGCGAGGUCGUGGGGAGCAGACAGG